AGCGAACGCUGGCGGCAGGCCUAACACAUGCAAGUCGAACGGACCCUUCGGGGUUAGUGGCGGACGGGUGAGUAACACGUGGGAACAUGCCCUUUGGUUCGGAAUAGCUCCUGGAAACGGGUGGUAAUGCCGAAUGUGCCCUUCGGGGGAAAGAUUUAUCGCCAUUGGAGCGGCCCGCGUCUGAUUAGCUAGUUGGUGAGGUAAAGGCUCACCAAGGCGACGAUCAGUAGCUGGUCUGAGAGGAUGAUCAGCCACAUUGGGACUGAGACACGGCCCAAACUCCUACGGGAGGCAGCAGUGGGGAAUCUUGCGCAAUGGGCGAAAGCCUGACGCAGCCAUGCCGCGUGAAUGAUGAAGGUCUUAGGAUUGUAAAAUUCUUUCACCGGGGACGAUAAUGACGGUACCCGGAGAAGAAGCCCCGGCUAACUUCGUGCCAGCCGCCGCCGUAAGAC
rnacentral:rRNA from 1 species